AGGGGGGGGGGGGGGGGGGGGGGGCGGCAUGUAUCCUGUCUGGAUGAGAGACCCAGAACACAUCUGUUACUGAGGGGGGGUCAUGUAUCCUGUCUGGAAGAGAGACCCAGAACACAUCUGGUACUGAGGGGGGGGGGGGGGUCAUGUAUCCUGUCUGGAUGAGAGACCCAGAACACAUCUGUUACUGAGGGGGGGUCAUGUAUCCUGUCUGGAAGAGAGACCCAGAACACAUCUGGUACUGAGGGGGGGGGGGGUCAUGUAUCCUGUCUGGAUGAGAGACCCAGAAUACAUCUGUUACUGAGGGGGGGGGGGUCAUCUAUCCUGUCUGGGUAAGAGACCCAGAACAGUAUCCUGUCUGGAUGAGAGACCCACAACACAUCUGUUACUGAGGGGGGGGGGGGUGUCAUGUAUCCUGUCUGGAUGAGACAGACACAGAACACAUCUGUUACUGAGGGGGGGUCAUGUAUCCUGUCUGGAUGAGACAGACACAGAACACAUCUGUUACUGAGGGGGGGGUCAUCUAUCUUACGCUGUAGCCUACCUUCUGAGCCUACCUUCUGAGGUCUACCUCUGUUUCACCUGUAUUCUCUCUGCCUCCAAGGGAAACUUCUCCUCCAUCUUCCCCCCGAGGGGAAACUUCUCCUCCAUCUUCCCCCUGAGGGAAACUUCUCCUCCAUCUUCCCCCUGAGGGAAACUUCUCCAUCUUCCCCCCCGAGGGAAACUUCUCCAUCUUCCCCCCCGAGGGAAACUUCUCCAUCUUCCCCCCCGAGGGAAACUUCUCCUCCAUCUUCCCCCCAGAGGGAAACUUCUCCUCCAUCUUCCCCCCCGAGGGAAACUUCUCCUCCAUCUUCCCCCCCGAGGGAAACUUCUCCUCCUUCUUCCCCCCCGAGGGAAACUUCUCCUCCUUUCCCCCUGAGGGAAACUUCUCCACAGAGGACUAGUUAUUGUACCUGAUCAGUUCUUCGAAUCAUUUAGUUGUUUUUUUGGCAAAGUGUUUUAAUAUUUUUGUACCACACAGUGUAUAUUACCGUAUUUAUAAGCUAUAAAGAAAAACAUUGUAUAUCUAUUCAUUGAAUUCUUGCAGUACUUUGUCAUUCCGUCUUUCAAUAUAUGCCUCAUUUUAUUUUCGGAUGUCGGACAGUCCAAACGCAUGGCGACAAUCUUAGACAAUAUCAACAAUCCUUUCGUAAUGUCCUGUCUGUCUCGUUCUCUGUCCUGUCUGUCUCUGUCCUGUCUGUCUCCUCUGUCUCUGUCCUGUCUGUCUCCUCUGUCUCUGUCCCGUCUCAAACUGAAAGACUGUCGGGGGAAAAGGGAUCCUUGUUUAAACUGGGUUGGUUUUUCUCUCCCUGUUUAUCCAGUCAGGGCUGUGGGAAAUUUCAGACUGAAACUGAGGACGAGAUAAAGCUGUCAUCCUCUCAGAACAUUCACACAUACCUCAAAACGUCCAUCUUUGUCUUUCUGUUGUCCAAUGGGCAGGCCAACUUUCAAUAUAGACUGGAAGGACAUUGCAGGGUCCUGGUUCUCUCGAUCUUCUCUGCUACUACUGUUACAGCUAUGUAUCUUGAUCAAAAUGGCCGUCUUCUGUCCAGACCCAGACACUCUAAGUCCAAUCCUUGCUGAGACAGUCUCCUGUCUGUCCCCUGCCCCAGUCUGUCUCUAGCUGAGACAGUCUCCUGUCUGUCCCCUGUCUGUUUUUAGAUUCAACCAGCAUUGUUGGAAAUGUGGUCAUUCUCUAAGUGCACUUUACAGUUGUGAUCGUACGUCCUGGUACAGACAACAUGAUACACACAGCUCAGAGGGAUAGGAGGAGGAAUGUGGUCAUUCUCUAAGUGCACUUUACAGUUCUGAUCGUACGUCCUGGUACAGACAUGAUACACACAGCUCAGAUGGAUAGGAGGAGGAAUGUGGUUGUGUGGUCUGGAUGUUUGAACGAGCAACGUAGUGAAUAAGGUUGGUGCUGCAGUUCUGAGAGGUUCCUGAUGUACACAUGGUGGUUGUGGAGAGGGAGGAUAUGAUGUCAGAGGUUCCUGAUGUACACAUGGUGGUUGUGGAGAGGGAGGAUAUGAUGUCAGAGGCCUGUCCUGGGACGUUACAUUGAUAAGAGGUCUUCUGGUCUACCAGCAUCGGUCUCUGAUGGUAGAGAUGUCUGGGUCGGCCUGUCCUGGGACGUUACACUGAUAGCAGAGGUCUUCUGGUCUACCAGCAUCGGUCUCUGAUGGUAGAGAUGUCUGGGUCGGCCUGUCCUGGGACGUUACAUUGAUAACAGAGGUCUUCUGGUCUACCAGCAUCGGUCUCUGAUGGUAGAGAUGUCUGGGUCGGCCUGUCCUGGGACGUUACAUUGAUAACAGAGGUCUUCUGGUCUACCAGCAUCGGUCUCUGAUGGUAGAGAUGUCUGGGUCGGCCUGGGACGUUACACUGAUAGCAGAGGUCUUCUGGUCUAUCAGCAUCGGUCUCUGAUGGUAGCUGCUUUUCCAAAAUGUCUGUUGAGUGGACGACUGUUGGUGAGAGAAGGGAAGUGGAGUAGCUUGAUUUAACACUUGUGUUGGUUAGCAGGUUAAAACAAGUUGCUGUUCUGACAUUAGAUGCUUGUUGUUAUCGAUGCCGUCCCAAAUGGCACCCUAUUCCCCAUAUAGAGCACUACUGUUGACCAGGGCUCAAUGGGACCCUAUUCCCUAUAUAGUCCACUACUGUUGACCAGGGCCCUAUAGCACCCUAUUCCCUAUAUAGCCCACUACAUUUGACCAGGGCCCUAAAGGAGUGCAGGAUAUAGGGAAUAGGGUGCCAUUUGGGGCCAUAUAACAUGUUUCUGGAGCUCUGAUAUAAAGACGAGGAACACAGCAGAGGUUUAUUGUCAGUUUGAACAUGUUAUCAUUCAUCCAUGUUGAUACCCAUGGUGCUUUGCAAGGAUGUAUACAGCUCAACCAACAUUUGGUUAGUCAGAAUGAUUAUUCUCAUUUCCACUCAACUCUACUUCUUCUACGUUGAUUUGCUUUCCAUGUAAACCAGGGUGUAAUGGAUGUAAACCAGGGUGUAAUGGAUGUGUCCAUUCAAUACUACAAGAAGCUGUUGGAACUAAAUUACAUGUGGAUUUUUUGUUUUGUUUUUUAAAUAAAAUGAAUGAACUUUCAUCUUGAA